CACAACGACAUGUGAAACAAUCACUGUUAGGUUUGCAAUAUACAUGAACGCAAUCAAAUUGCACAAAAAUAAGCGGAAGCAUGGAAAAUCAGAGUUUAAAAUUUUUACAAACCAUAUACUCGGAUCAUCCUUUAUGCACAAUUAUUAAUUAAAUUCGAGCUUCCUCAGGUACAAGUUCACCUCCAAAUCUUUUUCGUGUUCAACAUGAAUCCACCGGGUUGGGUUCCUU
rnacentral:lncRNA from 1 species